GCAAGAACAAGAGAUAUGGGCUGAACACUGAACAAUGUUUGGGCUGCAGGACAAAUUCUAACUUCUCCGUUGUUGCUACAAUUUGAACUUGAAAAUGGUCUUUUGAAUCUUGGACUCUUCAUGAAAGUUUUAGGCCUAUGUCUUAGCUUUCCAUC
rfam:Populus trichocarpa scaffold_1_contig_731, whole genome shotgun sequence.